UAGGAUGUGGCUCAGUGGUGGAGUGCAUGUCUGCCACCCACAAGGCCCUGGGUUCAAUUCCCAGCACCACAA
rnacentral:tRNA from 1 species